ACAGGGUUGUGGGAGAGAAGAAAAUGGCAACAUAAUGGAAAUUAGACAGAAUUCCCACCUUCUUUCCUGAAACAUCUUGACAACCUGUUGGGAUUGUAGCCCUUCCAGCUCUGGCUGUCUGUGGAAGGCACCCCAGCAAAGAUAAGUGAAAAACGCACUCUGCAUUUGAGGCUGAGGCUCUACACAAGCCCCAGGAAGUGUAUGCUCUUGGACUCCAAGGGGCUGGAUGAAGCAAAAUGAACCAUUUCCCAUCACACAGGAGCACCCAGCUGUAACCAGCACCCACACUGCACCUCCAACCCAUUUCUAGUGUCUUGCCGGAGAUUUCCGAUUUUGAUUGGAUUUGCUGAUUACCUGUCGGGGCAUUGCAGGAAUUAAGAGUGCAGGAGGGUGAUUUGUCGGAGGAGGGCGAGCAGCACCCGCAGGCGUUCCCUCACACACCUCAGAGCCACAGCGGCCCUAGCCGGGCGGUGAGCGCUCAGUUUCAUCCCCCGUGCUACGGGCUGGGCUUGGGGCUGAGAGGGACAGAGCUUCGCUUGGA